AAUAGCUCAGCUGCAUUCCAACACCAUCCUCCAGGACCUGCUGGACUAGAGGCUGAUCGUAUAUCUUUAUGAUAUUCUCAUCUACUCCAGGCACCCAGCCCAGCAUGACGCACUUGUCCACACAGUUCUGACUUGCCUCUGGCAAUACCAACUCUUUACUCAACUGGAGAAGUGAUCAGGUAACAAGCAGAAAUUCUGUCACAGCUUUCCCUGUACAGGGUUCUAACAUGCUCCCCCAAAGCCACUUACUAGCUGCAUGAAUUUGGGUAUGCAGCCCAAGUACGACUCUCACCCAAAGGGAAAAAGAGGAUUGGAGAAACCAAAGCUAGGCCAAGGCCCUGACAAUCCAUGCAGCCAAUGAAGGCAGUUUUUGGAUAGAAUUAGCACCAGUCCAAGACAUAAUGAUCCCUGGAGCUUGAGCCUUGGAAAAGCCAUGCAUUACAGGGAGGGGGCCACCCCAUGACAGCUGCAAGCUGACUAUUCCAGAGAACAUUGAGAUGGCAGGAAUAUUUUCCAGUUGAAAUCAACACAAUUCCCUUUGCAUUUGAGUCUCCGGAACAUUCAUGAUGAAAAUCUGGACAGCAUGACAUGGUGAGAAAACCGAGGUCCAGAACAUGUGGAUGACUUACCUCAGGCAUACAAUGAAUGAGUGGACUCACUUUUUCUACUGCAACACACUUAGCAACCCAAUUAUACCAAUCUGGGUAAAAGAACAAAGCUGCCUCCUCCCAGGAGAUGAGUUUCCACAGCUUCCCAGCUCAUUAAUAAACUGUGGCCUGAGAACUUUCAUGGAACCUCUUUUCUCCUUGCACCUAGUCCCUAAAUCAUCUCAAUUCUGAUGUCUUAAAAUGGUAUCUGUUUGCUGACAACUCUCAAAUUAUAUCUCCAGCCAAAAGUGUUUCUCAAAUUCCAGACUUAGAUAUCCAAUUGCCUAUUCAACAUAUCCACUUCAGAAUAAACCUCUGAGAAUCAACUUGUCCAGAACUAAACUCAUCUCCCCCAUCUUCCAAAAAGAGCACCUGCCCCACCCACAGUGAAGAAGUACCAAUGGCUUAGAGACCACUUGAACCAACCCAAAGAAUAAAAGGCAUUAGAAAGUAUAGUUAUGAAUGAGACACUGACUGUAUGGUAUAAGCCAUGUUUGUGAAGAGGAAGAAGCUGGACUUUAACUCUUUUUUUCCCACAAGAGCAUUCUGGGAGUACACAAAAACAAUCUCAAACAGCAUGAAAUUCAAAGC